rnacentral:rRNA from 1 species
AGAGUUUGAUCAUGGCUCAGAUUGAACGCUGGCGGCAUGCCUUACACAUGCAAGUCGAACGGCAGCACGGGAGCAACCCUGGUGGCGAGUGGCGAACGGGUGAGUAAUACAUCGGAACGUGUCCUGUAGUGGGGGAUAGCCCGGCGAAAGCCGGAUUAAUACCGCAUACGCUCUACGGAGGAAAGGGGGGGAUCUUAGGACCUCCCGCUACAGGGGCGGCCGAUGGCAGAUUAGCUAGUUGGUGGGGUAAAGGCCUACCAAGGCGACGAUCUGUAGCUGGUCUGAGAGGACGACCAGCCACACUGGGACUGAGACACGGCCCAGACUCCUACGGGAGGCAGCAGUGGGGAAUUUUGGACAAUGGGCGCAAGCCUGAUCCAGCAAUGCCGCGUGUGUGAAGAAGGCCUUCGGGUUGUAAAGCACUUUUGUCCGGAAAGAAAACGUCGUGGUUAAUACCCGUGGCGGAUGACGGUACCGGAAGAAUAAGCACCGGCUAACUACGUGCCAGCAGCCGCGGUAAUACGUAGGGUGCAAGCGUUAAUCGGAAUUACUGGGCGUAAAGCGUGCGCAGGCGGUCCGCUAAGACAGAUGUGAAAUCCCCGGGCUUAACCUGGGAACUGCAUUUGUGACUGGCGGGCUAGAGUAUGGCAGAGGGGGGUAGAAUUCCACGUAGCAGUGAAAUGCGUAGAGAUGUGGAGGAAUACCGAUGGCGAAGGCAGCCCCCUGGGCCAAUACUGACGCUCAUGCACGAAAGCGUGGGGAGCAAACAGGAUUAGAUACCCCCGUAGUCC